UACGUAGGGUGCAAGCGUUUGUCCGGAAUUAUUGGGCGUAAAGAGCUCGUAGGCGGUUCGUCACGUCGGCUGUGAAAACCUGAGGCUCAACCUCAGGCCUGCAGUCGAUACGGGCGGACUUGAGUACUGCAGGGGAGACUGGAAUUCCUGGUGUAGCGGUGAAAUGCGCAGAUAUCAGGAGGAACACCGGUGGCGAAGGCGGGUCUCUGGGCAGUAACUGACGCUGGAGGAGCGAAAGCGUGGGGAGCGAACAGG
rnacentral:rRNA from 1 species